rnacentral:rRNA from 1 species
AUUGAACGCUGGCGGCAUGCCUUACACAUGCAAGUCGAACGGCAGCACGGGAGCUUGCUCCUGGUGGCGAGUGGCGAACGGGUGAGUAAUAUAUCGGAACGUGCCCAGUAGUGGGGGAUAGCCCGGCGAAAGCCGGAUUAAUACCGCAUACGAUCUACGGAUGAAAGCGGGGGAUCGCAAGACCUCGCGCUAUUGGAGCGGCCGAUAUCUGAUUAGCUAGUUGGUGAGGUAAAGGCUCACCAAGGCUACGAUCAGUAGCUGGUCUGAGAGGACGACCAGCCACACUGGAACUGAGACACGGUCCAGACUCCUACGGGAGGCAGCAGUGGGGAAUUUUGGACAAUGGGGGA